rnacentral:rRNA from 1 species
GACGAACGCUUGCGGCGUGCUUAACACAUGCAAGUCGAACGGAAAGGCCCUGCUUUUGUGGGGUGCUCGAGUGGCGAACGGGUGAGUAACACGUGAGUAACCUGCCCUUGACUUUGGGAUAACUUCAGGAAACUGGGGCUAAUACCGGAUAGGAGCUCCUGCUGCAUGGUGGGGGUUGGAAAGUUUCGGCGGUUGGGGAUGGACUCGCGGCUUAUCAGCUUGUUGGUGGGGUAGUGGCUUACCAAGGCUUUGACGGGUAGCCGGCCUGAGAGGGUGACCGGCCACAUUGGGACUGAGAUACGGCCCAGACUCCUACGGGAGGCAGCAGUGGGGAAUAUUGCACAAUGGGCGGAAGCUUGAUGCAGCAACGCCGCGUGCGGGAUGACGGCCUUCGGGUUGUAAACCGCUUUCGCCUGUGACGAAGCGUGAGUGACGGUAAUGGGUAAAGAAGCACCGGCUAACUACGUGCCAGCAGCCGCGGUGAUACGUAGGGUGCGAGCGUUGUCCGGAUUUAUUGGGCGUAAAGGGCUCGUAGGUGGUUGAUCGCGUCGGAAGUGUAAUCUUGGGGCUUAACCCUGAGCGUGCUUUCGAUACGGGUUGACUUGAGGAAGGUAGGGGAGAAUGGAAUUCCUGGUGGAGCGGUGGAAUGCGCAGAUAUCAGGAGGAACACCAGUGGCGAAGGCGGUUCUCUGGGCCUUUCCUGACGCUGAGGAGCGAAAGCGUGGGGAGCGAACAGGCUUAGAUACCCUGGUAGUCCACGCUGUAAACGGUGGGUACUAGGUGUGGGGUCCAUUCCACGGGUUCCGUGCCGUAGCUAACGCUUUAAGUACCCCGCCUGGGGAGUACGGCCGCAAGGCUAAAACUCAAAGGAAUUGACGGGGCCCCGCACAAGCGGCGGAGCAUGCGGAUUAAUUCGAUGCAACGCGUAGAACCUUACCUGGGUUUGACAUGGAUCGGGAGUGCUCAGAGAUGGGUGUGCCUCUUUUGGGGUCGGUUCACAGGUGGUGCAUGGCUGUCGUCAGCUCGUGUCGUGAGAUGUUGGGUUAAGUCCCGCAACGAGCGCAACCCUUGUUCACUGUUGCCAGCACGUUAUGGUGGGGACUCAGUGGAGACCGCCGGGGUCAACCCGGAGGAAGGUGGGGAUGACGUCAAGUCAUCAUGCCCCUUAUGUCCAGGGCUUCACGCAUGCUACAAUGGCUGGUACAGAGAGUGGCGAGCCUGUGAGGGUGAGCGAAUCUCGGAAAGCCGGUCUCAGUUCGGAUUGGGGUCUGCAACUCGACCUCAUGAAGUCGGAGUCGCUAGUAAUCGCAGAUCAGCAACGCUGCGGUGAAUACGUUCCCGGG